GAGUUUGAUCGUGGCUCAGGACGAACGCUGGCGGCGUGCCUAAUACAUGCAAGUCGAGCGAGUCUCUUCGGAGGCUAGCGGCGGACGGGUGAGUAACACGUAGGCAACCUGCCUCUCAGACCGGGAUAACAUAGGGGAAACUUAUGCUAAUACCGGAUAGGUUUUUGGAUUGCAUGAUCCGAAAAGAAAGAUGGCUUUUCGCUAUCACUGGGAGAUGGGCCUGCGGCGCAUUAGCUAGUUGGUGGGGUAACGGCCUACCAAGGCGACGAUGCGUAGCCGACCUGAGAGGGUGACCGGCCACGACUGGGACUGAGACACGGCCCAGACUCCUACGGGAGGCAGCAGUAGGGAG
rnacentral:rRNA from 1 species